rnacentral:rRNA from 1 species
GAACGCUGGCGGCAGGCCUAACACAUGCAAGUCGAGCGGUAACAGAAAGAAAGCUUGCUUUCUUUGCUGACGAGCGGCGGACGGGUGAGUAACGCGUGGGAAACCUGCCUUUGAGUGGGGGAUAACAGUUCUAACGAGCUGCUAAUACCGCAUGACGCUGUUGAUCGCAUGUUCAACAGUUAAAGAUGGCCUCUACAUGUAAGCUGUCGCUUAAAGAUGGUCCCGCGUCCUAUUAGCUAGUUGGUGAGGUAAUGGCUCACCAAGGCAACGAUCGGUAGCCGGCCUGAGAGGGUGAACGGCCACAUUGGGACUGAGACACGGCCCAGACUCCUACGGGAGGCAGCAGUGGGGAAUUUUGGGCAAUGGGGGAAACCCUGACCCAGCGACGCCGCGUGGAGGAUGACGGCCUUCGGGUUGUAAACUCCUGUCAGGUGGGAAGAAAAGCCAGUCGGUUAAUACCCGGCAGGAAUUGACGGUACUCUGCGAAUAAGGACCGGCUAACUACGUG